rnacentral:rRNA from 1 species
GACAGAGGUGCCGAGCGUUAGGCGGAAUCACUGGGCUUAAAGCGUGUGUAGGCGGGUCGUUAAGUGUCUUGUGAAAUCCCCCGGCUCAACCGGGGAAUGGCUGGGCAUACUGGCGAUCUUGAGCAGUCUAGGGGCAGAUGGAACAAGUGGUGGAGCGGUGAAAUGCGUAGAUAUCACUUGGAACGCCAACGGUGAAGACAGUCUGCUGGGGACUUGCUGACGCUGAGACACGAAAGCGUGGGUAGCAAACAGG